rnacentral:misc_RNA from 1 species
ACCCCAUCCUCCUAUGCCUGAUGGCUGUUGACUGCUAAAACCCCAUUUCCUAUCAUCUGCCUUUCUCCUUCCUCUCUUAUCCCUCCAUACUUUACAGGGCCAUUGCCAUGUCCUCUUUUGCCGCUCCCACCAAUCUCAUAGCCAACGCUCCUCUCUCCUCCUCCUCCUCCUCCUCUCUACCUUCACGCCGCAAGUCAGGUGCUAGUGCUGCCGCCCCUCGUGCUUCCCCCUUCAAAUGCGAUCUUUCCUCCUUUUCGAACUUAUCUUCAUCCUCGCAAAAUCCUAAACCCCGUGAUUCCAACUCACACAGUUCAAUUCUUAAAUCCUUGUCUAAGUCCCUAGCCCUUGCUGGAGUUGGCGCUUCCGCCGCCACUUUCCUCCUCCGACUCACCCCCAUCUUCAACGAGGGCCCUGGCAGCUUCGGCGGUGAUAAUGGCGG